rnacentral:rRNA from 1 species
UACGUAGGGUGCGAGCGUUAAUCGGAAUUACUGGGCGUAAAGCGUGCGCAGGCGGUUUUGUAAGCCGGAUGUGAAAUCCCCGGGCUUAACCUGGGAAUGGCAUUCGGGACUGCAAGGCUGGAGUGCGGCAGAGGAGACUGGAAUUCCUGGUGUAGCAGUGAAAUGCGUAGAUAUCAGGAGGAACACCGGUGGCGAAAGCGGCCUUCUGGACGAGGACUGACGCUGAGAUGCGAAAGCGUGGGGAGCAAACAGG